GAUGAACGCUGGCGGCGUGCUUAACACAUGCAAGUCGAACGAUGAAGCCCAGCUUGCUGGGUGGAUUAGUGGCGAACGGGUGAGUAACACGUGAGUAACAUGCCCUUGACUCUGGGAUAAGACUGGGAAACAGGGUCUAAUACUGGAUAUGACUUCUCAUCGCAUGGUGGGGGGUGGAAAGAUUUAUUGGUCUUGGAUGGACUCGCGGCCUAUCAGCUUGUUGGUGUGGUAAUGGCUCACCAAGGCGACGACGGGUAGCCGGCCUGAGAGGGUGACCGGCCACACUGGGACUGAGACACGGCCCAGACUCCUACGGGAGGCAGCAGUGGGGAAUAUUGCACAAUGGGCGCAAGCCUGAUGCAGCGACGCCGCGUGCGGGAUGACGGCCUUCGGGUUGUAAACCUCUUUCAGUAGUGAAGAAGCGAGAGUGACGGUACCUGCAGAAGAAGCGCCGGCUAACUACGUG
rnacentral:rRNA from 1 species